CAGAGGGAAGGCUGUGCUGCAGGAGAGGUGAAUCUGGAAUCACUCUCUGUUAACUCAAGCUGGAAUUUCCUUGCCUCAGUUGCGUUGUAGAAUAGGAAGAUCCUCCGGUGUCUCCAGAGAUAAACCUGAGCCUUGAUGCAAGGCUUUGCUCUUGAGUCAAGCUAGAAGUGAGCACCUACUGCACCUGGGUCACUGUUCAGAGCAGAAACUCCAAGUCAAAAGGACCUUUUGGCAACAAGCAUCCAUGUGUCUUGAUCCCACUAGCUGACAGGGCUCUGGGCUGGGCUGUGGUACGGUCGUACCAUGGCUGGACCCCCAGCAAAUCAGAUCUCUGGAGAUGAGGGGAGGUUUGGUGUGGACUCCUUGCAACGUGCUCCUGGCAAGAGAGGCUCUUCAGUUUGCAUGAGGGUCAGGAAGACAAAGGCC
ensembl:lncRNA